GAAAUUUUCAAUUUUCUUAUUUACCCAUCGUAGAAGGCUAAUAUUAAAAUUACCCUUUUAAGCUUCCAAAGUCAUUUAUAUAAUUAUAUAUGAUCCUAAAAUUAAAUUCUGUUAGUAAUAGUCGUUAUCUAAAUUGCCAUUUUGCUCUUUCAAAAUGUACUCUUUUCUCAUCAUCAAUUUUUUUUAUUGCGAAAUUGUUUUUUUAAAAAAAUUAU
rnacentral:lncRNA from 1 species